AGUGAACGCUGGCGGUAGGCCUAACACAUGCAAGUCGAACGGCAGCACAGUAAGAGCUUGCUCUUACGGGUGGCGAGUGGCGGACGGGUGAGGCAUACAUCGGAAUCUACUUUUUCGUGGGGGAUAACGUAGGGAAACUUACGCUAAUACCGCAUACGACCUACGGGUGAAAGCAGGGGAUCUUCGGACCUUGCGCGAUUGAAUGAGCCGAUGUCGGAUUAGCUAGUUGGCGGGGUAAAGGCCCACCAAGGCGACGAUCCGUAGCUGGUCUGAGAGGAUGAUCAGCCACACUGGAACUGAGACACGGUCCAGACUCCUACGGGAGGCAGCAGUGGGGAAUAUUGGGCAAUGGGCGCAAGCCUGAUCCAGCCACACCGCGUGGGUGAAGAAGGCCUUCGGGUUGUAAAGCCCUUUUGUUGGGAAAGAAAAGCAGCAGGUGAAUACCCCGCUGUUUUGACGGUACCCAAAGAAUAAGCACCGGCUAACUUCGUG
rnacentral:rRNA from 1 species